rnacentral:rRNA from 1 species
UACGUAGGGGGCAAGCGUUGUCCGGAUUUAUUGGCGUAAAGAGCGUGUAGGCGGCUAGAUAGGUCCGUUGUGAAAACUCCGAGCUCCAACCUCGAGACGCCGGUGGAAACCAUCUAGCUAGAGUCCGGAAGAGGAGAGUGGAAUUCCUGGAUGUAGCGGUGAAAUGCGCAGAUAUCAGGAAGAACACCCGUGGCGAAGGCGGCUCUCUGGUACGUGACUGACGCUGAGACGCGAAAGCGUGGGGAGCGAACAGG